CCGGCGAUGUCCGAAUGGGGAAACCCAGUGCAAUUCGUUGCACUAUCGUUAACUGAAUACAUAGGUUAACGAGGCGAACCGGGGGAACUGAAACAUCUAAGUACCCCGAGGAAAAGAAAUCAACCGAGAUUCCCCCAGUAGCGGCGAGCGAACGGGGAGCAGCCCAGAGUCUGAAUCAGCUUGUGUGUUAGUGGAACGGUCUGGAAAGUCCGACGGUACAGGGUGAUAGUCCCGUACACCAAAAUGCACAGGCUGUGAACUCGAAGAGUAGGGCGGGACACGUGGUAUCCUGUCUGAAUAUGGGGGGACCAUCCUCCAAGGCUAAAUACUCCUGACUGACCGAUAGUGAACCAGUACCGUGAGGGAAAGGCGAAAAGAACCCCGGCGAGGGGAGUGAAAAAGAACCUGAAACCGUGUACGUACAAGCAGUGGGAGCACCUUCGGGUGUGACUGCGUACCUUUUGUAUAAUGGGUCAGCGACUUAUAUUCUGUAGCAAGGUUAACCGUAUAGGGGAGCCGCAGGGAAACCGAGUCUUAACUGGGCGUUAAGUUGCAGGGUAUAGACCCGAAACCCGGUGAUCUAGCCAUGGGCAGGUUGAAGGUUGGGUAACACUAACUGGAGGACCGAACCGACUAAUGUUGAAAAAUUAGCGGAUGACUUGUGGCUGGGGGUGAAAGGCCAAUCAAACCGGGAGAUAGCUGGUUCUCCCCGAAAGCUAUUUAGGUAGCGCCUCGUGAACUCAUCUUCGGGGGUAGAGCACUGUUUCGGCUAGGGGGUCAUCCCGACUUACCAACCCGAUGCAAACUACGAAUACCGAAGAAUGUUAUCACGGGAGACACACGGCGGGUGCUAACGUCCGUCGUGAAGAGGGAAACAACCCAGACCGCCAGCUAAGGUCCCAAAGUCAUGGUUAAGUGGGAAACGAUGUGGGAAGGCACAGACAGCCAGGAUGUUGGCUUAGAAGCAGCCAUCAUUUAAAGAAAGCGUAAUAGCUCACUGGUCGAGUCGGCCUGCGCGGAAGAUGUAACGGGGCUAAACCAUGCACCGAAGCUGCGGCAGCGACACUAUGUGUUGUUGGGUAGGGGAGCGUUCUGUAAGCCUGCGAAGGUGUGCUGUGAGGCAUGCUGGAGGUAUCAGAAGUGCGAAUGCUGACAUAAGUAACGAUAAAGCGGGUGAAAAGCCCGCUCGCCGGAAGACCAAGGGUUCCUGUCCAACGUUAAUCGGGGCAGGGUGAGUCGACCCCUAAGGCGAGGCCGAAAGGCGUAGUCGAUGGGAAACAGGUUAAUAUUCCUGUACUUGGUGUUACUGCGAAGGGGGGACGGAGAAGGCUAUGUUAGCCGGGCGACGGUUGUCCCGGUUUAAGCAUGUAGGCUGAUUGUCCAGGCAAAUCCGGAUAAUCAAGGCUGAGGUGUGAUGACGAGGCACUACGGUGCUGAAGUAACAAAUGCCCUGCUUCCAGGAAAAGCCUCUAAGCAUCAGGUAACAUCAAAUCGUACCCCAAACCGACACAGGUGGUCAGGUAGAGAAUACCAAGGCGCUUGAGAGAACUCGGGUGAAGGAACUAGGCAAAAUGGUGCCGUAACUUCGGGAGAAGGCACGCUGGUGUGUAGGUGAAGUCCCUGCGGAUGGAGCUGAGACCAGUCGAAGAUACCAGCUGGCUGCAACUGUUUAUUAAAAACACAGCACUGUGCAAACACGAAAGUGGACGUAUACGGUGUGACGCCUGCCCGGUGCCGGAAGGUUAAUUGAUGGGGUUAUCCGUAAGGAGAAGCUCUUGAUCGAAGCCCCGGUAAACGGCGGCCGUAACUAUAACGGUCCUAAGGUAGCGAAAUUCCUUGUCGGGUAAGUUCCGACCUGCACGAAUGGCGUAAUGAUGGCCAGGCUGUCUCCACCCGAGACUCAGUGAAAUUGAACUCGCUGUGAAGAUGCAGUGUACCCGCGGCAAGACGGAAAGACCCCGUGAACCUUUACUAUAGCUUGACACUGAACAUUGAGCCUUGAUGUGUAGGAUAGGUGGGAGGCUUUGAAGCGUGGACGCCAGUCUGCGUGGAGCCAACCUUGAAAUACCACCCUUUAAUGUUUGAUGUUCUAACGUUGGCCCCUGACCGGGGUUGCGGACAGUGUCUGGUGGGUAGUUUGACUGGGGCGGUCUCCUCCCAAAGCGUAACGGAGGAGCACGAAGGUUAGCUAAUCCUGGUCGGACAUCAGGAGGUUAGUGCAAUGGCAUAAGCUAGCUUGACUGCGAGCGUGACGGCGCGAGCAGGUGCGAAAGCAGGUCAUAGUGAUCCGGUGGUUCUGAAUGGAAGGGCCAUCGCUCAACGGAUAAAAGGUACUCCGGGGAUAACAGGCUGAUACCGCCCAAGAGUUCAUAUCGACGGCGGUGUUUGGCACCUCGAUGUCGGCUCAUCACAUCCUGGGGCUGAAGUAGGUCCCAAGGGUAUGGCUGUUCGCCAUUUAAAGUGGUACGCGAGCUGGGUUUAGAACGUCGUGAGACAGUUCGGUCCCUAUCUGCCGUGGGCGCUGGAGAAUUGAGGGGGGCUGCUCCUAGUACGAGAGGACCGGAGUGGACGCAUCACUGGUGUUCGGGUUGUCAUGCCAAUGGCACUGCCCGGUAGCUAAAUGCGGAAGAGAUAAGUGCUGAAAGCAUCUAAGCACGAAACUUGCCCCGAGAUGAGUUCUCCCUGAGACUUUAAGUCUCCUGAAGGAACGUUAAAGACGAUGACGUUGAUAGGCCGGGUGUGUAAGCGCAGCGAUGCGUUGAGCUAACCGGUACUAAUGAACCGUGAGGCUUAACCUU
rnacentral:rRNA from 1 species